rnacentral:lncRNA from 1 species
UUAUAAGAGAGUUGGCGUGACUAACCCAUUUGGAGAACUACCUAAGACGGCUAGCACUUUCGUCAAUCGCACUACUUGGAGGCUUAGGAUAGAGCUCGAAGAGGCACACGAAAAAGUUAGAAUAAGAGCACCUUAGACAGUAGUAGGCUGCACAGGGCCAGGGGUAGAAGAUGUUGAGAUGUUCCCAGUUCCACCACCAUUGAUGGAUGUUGAUACACAACUGUUGAGAUUGAUGUUCAUCACCAUGACCGACUCCAAAUAUUCAGGAAUUUUACUACUAUUGCAAGUACAGAGUCACUGGCUACGAGGAGAGAGGUUGAAACCUUGAACGAGCGAUUGAGCAGAUAUGUAGACCGAGUCGAUGGGAUCCAAUUGAGAGUGGAUGAGACUUGGGAUGAAUUAGGCAGCAUCGAGACUAAGGUUUAAGAUCAGUCGGCAAUGAUUCAAGGUAUGCAGAGCUAGAUUGAUGUAAAUUUAUAGACUUUUUGACUUGAAUUAGCAAAAUGCUUGUGUAAAAAUUUCCAAUUGAAAUUCUUGUUUAAGCUCUAGUAUAUAACUACAUCUCUUGGAGGGAAGCAUGAGAUUACCUGAAGAACUAGGUCAUUCAAGUUACCAUGUUUUUGUUUUGUAAUCGUUUUUCUUUGUAUUCAUGAGGAAGGGUAUCA